rnacentral:rRNA from 1 species
AGAGUUUGACAUGGCUCAGGACGAACGCUGGCGGCGUGCUUAACACAUGCAAGUCGAACGGUGAAGGGGCCUGCUUUUGUGGGUCCUGGAUGAGUGGCGAACGGGUGAGUAACACGUGAGUAACCUGCCCCCUUCUUCUGGAUAACCGCAUGAAAGUGUGGCUAAUACGGGAUAUUCUGGGUCUGUCGCAUGGUGGGCCUGGGAAAGGUUUUUUCCGGUGGGGGAUGGGCUCGCGGCCUAUCAGCUUGUUGGUGGGGUGAUGGCCUACCAAGGCGGUGACGGGUAGCCGGCCUGAGAGGGUGGACGGUCACACUGGGACUGAGACACGGCCCAGACUCCUACGGGAGGCAGCAGUGGGGAAUAUUGCACAAUGGGCGCAAGCCUGAUGCAGCGACGCCGCGUGAGGGAUGGAGGCCUUCGGGUUGUGAACCUCUUUCGCCAGUGAAGCAGGCCUGCUCCUUUUUUGUGGGUGGGUUGACGGUAGCUGGAUAAGAAGCGCCGGCUAACUACGUGCCAGCAGCCGCGGUAAUACGUAGGGCGCGAGCGUUGUCCGGAAUUAUUGGGCGUAAAGAGCUCGUAGGCGGCUGGUCGCGUCUGUCGUGAAAUCCUCUGGCUUAACUGGGGGCUUGCGGUGGGUACGGGCCGGCUUGAGUGCGGUAGGGGAGGCUGGAACUCCUGGUGUAGCGGUGGAAUGCGCAGAUAUCAGGAAGAACACCGGUGGCGAAGGCGGGUCUCUGGGCCGUUACUGACGCUGAGGAGCGAAAGCGUGGGGAGCGAACAGGAUUAGAUACCCUGGUAGUCCACGCCGUAAACGUUGGGCACUAGGUGUGGGGGGCCUUUUCCGGGUUUUCCGCGCCGUAGCUAACGCAUUAAGUGCCCCGCCUGGGGAGUACGGCCGCAAGGCUAAAACUCAAAGGAAUUGACGGGGGCCCGCACAAGCGGCGGAGCAUGCGGAUUAAUUCGAUGCAACGCGAAGAACCUUACCAAGGCUUGACAUGUGCCGGUCUGCUCCGGAGACGGGGUUUCCUCCCUUGUGGGGGCUGGUUCACAGGUGGUGCAUGGUCGUCGUCAGCUCGUGUCGUGAGAUGUUGGGUUAAGUCCCGCAACGAGCGCAACCCUUGUCUCGUGUUGCCAGCACGUUGUGGUGGGGACUCGCGGGAGACUGCCGGGGUCAACUCGGAGGAAGGUGGGGAUGACGUCAAAUCAUCAUGCCCCUUAUGUCUUGGGCUUCACGCAUGCUACAAUGGCCGGUACAGAGGGCUGCGAUACCGUGAGGUGGAGCGAAUCCCUUAAAGCCGGUCUCAGUUCGGAUCGGUGUCUGCAACUCGACACCGUGAAGUUGGAGUCGCUAGUAAUCGCAGAUCAGCAACGCUGCGGUGAAUACGUUCUCGGGCCUUGUACACACCGCCCGUC